rnacentral:rRNA from 1 species
AUUGAACGCUGGCGGCAGGCCUAACACAUGCAAGUCGAGCGAGCGGCGGACGGGUGAGUACUGUAUGGGGACUGCCAGAGAGAGGGGGAUAAAUACUGGAAACGGUGGAUAAUACCGCAUACUAUCGGAUAACCCAUAGGGGAUUAGCUAGGAGGUGGGGUAAAGGCUCACCUAGGCGACGAUCUCUCGCUGGUCUGAGAGGCUGAUCAGCCACACUGUGACUGAGACACGGCCCAGACUCCUACGGAGGCAGCAGUUGGGAAUAUUGCACAAUGGGCGCAAGCCUGAUGCAGCCAUGCCGCGUGUAUGAAGAAGGCCUUAGGGUUGUAAAGUACUUUCAGCGGGGAGGCGUUACCCGCAGAAGAAGCACCGGCUAACUCCGUGCCAGCCGCCGCGGUAAGUC